ACUUGAAUAGCUUAUAAUUUAGAGCACAACACUGAAGAUGUUGAUGAGGUAUUUAUUACCUUUAAGUA
rnacentral:tRNA from 1 species